AAAACCUUUCCACAACAAAAAGUUUGCACGAUGAUAGAAAACUUGCACUAAGCUUCAAAUAUAUCAGGACAUGAUCUACAUGUUAUCUUGUCCUGUUUGUAUAAUUAAAAAAACAAAGAGAUGAGUUCCCGACAGUGUUCAACACCUUAGAAAUUUUAGAAAAACAAUUCCAGCAUAAUCCAUAAAAGGCUAUUCCUGGGUCUGUUCCUGCAUUCAUCGCUGUUCAACCAAUGGCAUGGCGCAGAAUUGCAGAACCAACUUUCGUGAAGAGACAUUUUUGUUCCCUGAAGUUGAACAUGGUGUUGUAACGAUCUAGAACCAAAAGCAGCACACUUCUCUCAACUUAGAUUCACUUGCCCACAUUUCAAAGAAGAUGAACAUCAGUACCACAAUGCGUCGAGGCAAAAAUAAGCAUAUGCAGUAUGGGCAUGCAUGCAUACUCAUCUAGCGAAUCAUCUUACACUGAGUAUCGAUACAGUUAAAUCUAAACUGGUUAAUAGUACAAUUUUAAGUUCACAAAACAGGAUGACAAAGAAAAUGUUGCAAUAACAACAGGUUCAGAUGAAGCAUUACUGUUCAUAAAAUAAAACGAAAAUGUUUGUAAUAAUGAAGGAAUUAGGAGAACAUACUCACAAUAGAAGCUCCUCCUAACCUUGUGUCAUCACACUCUAAUCAACCUCAUCAUGAAGGAGAUAAACAAAUGUAACCUAGAUAUUUAGUAAGUAGCUAAAUACCUUGUGAUAUCUUUCUUCAUAAUCAUGUCUGAAAAUUAGAAACUGAUAAAACAACUCUCUGGUACACACAGCUAGAAAAAAGAGCCACGCUCUCACCAAGAUAAUUGUCUGAACGUAUGGAGCCAAAGAAUUAUCUGAUUACUAUCUAAUUAAUUACUCAAUUGUUGCUUGCUCACUUUUUUAUGUCAUGGGGUAUAUAUAUAAACAUCAUAUUGGUACAUAUGCAGAAAUCUUUCAUAAAGGAACGUGUCUUAUUUAGACGUGAUACUUAGAUGAUACGUGAGGAUUGUACUUGUGUUGAUUAUUUGGCUAAUUGGUUGAAGUCCAUAUGUAAUUAAAUAUCAAAUAAGAAAGUUCCAAAGAGAAAAUUAGCAACCAAUGGUGAGGUCCAUAUGUAAUUAAAUAACCGACAAAUACAUCUAUUAAUAUCAAAUUCACCUAAUGUACUUCAAAUAGGAAUAUGGAUUUCAAUCAAUGAAUUACUUGCUCAACAAAUCAAUCAUGACAUUCCAGACGAAAAUGCAAAUAAGGGAAAGAGAACAUCAACUUGCAUAAAAUAUACUUAACUUUCAAACUGCUCUCGUUUGCUUUUCACAAGACAUGGGAAUUGUUCUAUAGAUGCAAUCCAUGAAAAAAGAAUCAUGAACACAUUCCUAUCAUUAGUUUCUACAAAUUGCACUUCAUUUUCAGUUGUCGUUGCUUCACAAUUUCUUUGUGGUCAACCCCCCUGUCGAAAUGUAUAUAUAUGAAUAAAUUAAACAAAUUCAGCAAAUGUAUAACUUAAUUAAUGAUUAAGUUUUGAUCCUUAUCGAUUUGAUUUCUAGCUGGACAUUAACGCAAACAACUAACGUGCGAUGCAAAAAGGUAAGAGUACAAUUUCUUUUAUACAGACACAUCAGUAACUGAAACGUCAGCUUGAGGCUGGCCAUAGUGGGGGGUAACAUAAGUAGUAUCAUGUACUUGGGACUCGCAAACAUGCUUAUGUGACAGGCAAUUAAAGAAGAGAGAGAUGGUUAUAGUAACAUAGGUAGAUACCGUAACAUAAUAAAUGUGAUGCUACAAUGUGUCAUGCAUGGCAAUAAAUAAGACCACCUAUAAUAUUAUACACUAUAGAGAUAGUAACAUAGACUAGUAACAUGUGCAUGUUACUACUCUAAGUUACUCUCCACUAUGACCAGCCUGAGGCAUGAACAGAAACCAAAGAAGCACAACAAUAAUUAAAGGGGGAGAGAGAGAGAGAGCGCAAGACAGAAACAUGCAUCCCACGGCGGACGGGAACGAACGCGUACUGCUCGAGCUUUGCCCGCUCCAACUGCAUGUCCGCCAUGAGCGCAAGAGCUAAUCCAGAAUUCUGCAGUUAUUUGUCCUCCUCGUCAUGGAAGUACUGUACUUAUUAGUGAAGAGCAACAACAUACGUACUCCGUGGAGUAGUUACCCGCAUCAAUCCGCAGAUAGCCGCACAAUUGGAAACAGAUAUGGAGAAUAUUUAUCCUCUUUUGGCGCUACCAACAGUUUCCUUCUCAUUAAUGUCUGCUCUUAUAUAAUUUCCACUUUGUCUAAUUUAUGUAUGUACACAUUACAGCAACACAGUCUAGAUAGUAGAUACUACGUACAGUACUACUGAACAUACCUCACCUGACCCGGACCGGGAGCCCGCCGCUGAUGGACGCCGUCAGCCCCGGCGCAAACAUGGACACGGUGGCCUUUUCCCCAACCACUUCAAAUCCGGACUGCUUCACUACCGCCACACUCACCACCUUCAUCUCCAUCACGGCGAGCUCCUUGCCGAAGCAAACGCGGAGCCCAGCCU
rnacentral:lncRNA from 1 species